rnacentral:rRNA from 1 species
UACGAAGGGUGCAAGCGUUAAUCGGAAUUACUGGGCGUAAAGCGUGCGCAGGCGGUUCGCUAAGACAGAUGUGAAAUCCCCGGGCUUAACCUGGGAACUGCAUUUGUGACUGGCGGGCUAGAGUAUGGCAGAGGGGGGUAGAAUUCCACGUGUAGCAGUGAAAUGCGUAGAGAUGUGGAGGAAUACCGAUGGCGAAGGCAGCCCCCUGGGCCAAUACUGACGCUCAUGCACGAAAUCGUGGGGAGCAAACAGG